AGUGAACGCUGGCGGUAGGCCUAACACAUGCAAGUCGAACGGCAGCACAGUAAGAGCUUGCUCUUACGGGUGGCGAGUGGCGGACGGGUGAGGAAUACAUCGGAAUCUACUUUUUCGUGGGGGCUAACGUAGGGAAACUUACGCUAAUACCGCAUACGACCUACGGGUGAAAGCAGGGGAUCUUCGGACCUUGCGCGAUUGAAUGAGCCGAUGUCGGAUUAGCUAGUUGGCGGGGUAAAGGCCCACCAAGGCGACGAUCCGUAGCUGGUCUGAGAGGAUGAUCAGCCACACUGGAACUGAGACACGGUACAGACUCCUACGGGAGGCAGCAGUGGGGAAUAUUGGACAAUGGGCGCAAGCCUGAUCCAGCCAUACCGCGUGGAUGAAGAAGGCCUUCGGGUUGUAAAGCCCUUUUGUUGGGAAAGAAAAGCAGCAGGUUAAUACCCCGCUGUUCUGACGGUACCCAAAGAAUAAGCACCGGCUAACUUCGUG
rnacentral:rRNA from 1 species